GAGCAUCACCUCUUCCAUUAGGAACUGCUGUCAUUGCCAUUGUGUUACAGAUGGUAGAGAUAUAUCCAGCCAUUGGAGCUACCAGCCUAAUGUGAGAGCCCAGCCAUCUCACCAUGUCCCCUGAAGAGCCGCUUCUCCCUCCUGUCCUCUUCAUUUCAGGAGGAGCCCCUGCUGAUGGUGUAGACCCUGCUUAGACAUCCCUUUCCUACUGGCCCCCAUGUCCUACACUCUCAUGUGGCCUCCUGGGUUUUGACUGGCUUUUCUUGUCAGGUGCUACUGAAAUUGUUCAGUUACUGCGUGAAGGUGAAAGUCAACCGGCAGCAACUGGUCAAACUGGAAAUGAACACCUUGAAUGUCAUGCUGGGGACCCUAAACCUGGCCCUUGUAGCUGAACAAGAAAGCAAGGACAGUGGGGGCGCAGCUGUGGCUGAGCAGGUGCUUAGCAUCAUGGAGAUCAUUCUAGAUGAGUCCAAUGCUGAGCCCCUGAGUGAGGACAAGGGCAACCUCCUCCUGACAGGUGACAAGGAUCAACUGGUGAUGCUC
rnacentral:sRNA from 1 species